rnacentral:snRNA from 1 species
UUAUUGAGGUGUUGAGCCCUUCGGCGAUCAGCGAGGCCGGGGCCCCGCGCCGACGCCUCCCAUUGCACUGUGGGUGGCUGAAGCGCGCCACCUGCCCCAACCUGGGGUAGGUAGGGCACCUAAUUUUUGGUAGUGGGGGCUUGGCGUGCGUGCCGGCCCCUA